UGGACUUCAUUGUGCUGGGAGACAGCUCCUUCUCCAGGCCCAGGAAAACAUUUCAGUGAAAGUCAAGCACUGUUUGGCAUUUUUCUUCUGAUUAAAAAUAGAGGAAUGGCAGUGCUUGCUCCUAUCAGCAUGAAACAGAUGUGGUUCUAAGAAACCAGUGUAUAACCCAUGGGACUCAACAACAAGUGUAUAACCCAAACCUCAAAGCCAUAGUCAGUAGAAAUACUUGGCGCUUAUGAUGGAGACACCUGGAAGCUUAUCUACACAACAGGCAUGAAUCAUCUGUUGAUAGACUAUGAAAGAAGUUAAAGUAACCAGUGCCCAAAAGUUUGUAAGUAUAAGCAUGAAAUUCAGUCAAGCCACUUAAUGUGAAGGCUAAAGAAUGAGUUAGUAAUUCUUAAGAAAAAAUAAAAAUAAACCAGGGCAAAAAGAUAAACUUUGUAAGUAAUAACACCUGCAAUUUAGAGAUCCCGAGAUGUAAGUUUCUGCCACUUAAAACCCUUUCUCCAAAGGGACUGUCUCUAUUCCCAUUAACCCACUUAGUAUAAAGCAUUUGUGAAAUAUCCAUAUUGU
rnacentral:lncRNA from 1 species